AGCUCCAAUAGCGUAUAUUAAAGUUGUUGCAGUUAAAAAGCUCGUAGUUGGAUUUCUGGUUUGAUGCGCCUGGCCCGCCACGGUUUACGUGUGUGAGUGCCGGCGCGCGUCUGCCAUCCUUCUAGAAAACGUUUCUACGGUUCAUUCCGGCGGAUUCGCGAUCUAGAUCUUUUACUUUGAAAAAAUUAGAGUGUUUAAAGCAGGCUUUUGCUAUGAAUACAUUAGCAUGGAAUAAUAAUUUAGGACUUUGGUUCUAUUUUGUUGGUUUCUAGGACUGAAGUAAUGAUUGAUAGGGAUUGUUGGGGGUGCUAGUAUUCAGCGGCCAGAGGUGAAAUUCUCGGAUUCGCUGAAGACUAACUUAUGCGAAAGCAUUCACCAAGGAAGUCUUCU
rnacentral:rRNA from 1 species